AGUCACUGACAUUAGAUACCCCUGUAGUCCAGGGUGUAAACGCUGCAGACUUGGUGUUGGAGGCCCUUUGGGGGCAUUCAGUGCCGGAGAGAAGUUGUUAAGUCUGCUACUUGGGGAGUACGUCCGCAAGGAUGAAACUUAAAGGAAUUGGCGGGGGAGCACCGCAACGGGAGGAGCGUGCGGUUUAAUUGGAUUCAACACCGUAAAACUCACCAGGGAAGACUAUUACAUGAAGGCCGAGAUGAAGACUCUGCUAGAUUUUCAG
rnacentral:rRNA from 1 species